AUUUAGGGUGAACAAAUGCUGGUGUAUGAGCACAUUCCAAAUGGCACUUUGAUGGAUAGUCUCUCGGGAAAGUCUGGAAUCUGGAUGGAUUGGAUAAGGAGGCUUAAAGUAGCAUUAGGUGCAGCCAGGGGUCUGGCCUAUUUUCAUGAACUUGCUGACCCACCUAUCAUAACUUAUUAAAUACUAUUAUAUUACCAGCAAGAGCUUUUACAAAGAGUAUGGGCAAUCUUCUAACACUUUUUCCCAACUAGACUUUGAACCCUCUCUUCCAACACAAUAAGCCCUUUACCCUUCUUCCAUCAACAUUAAUUUAACAUUAACAUGGAAUAAAACGAACCCCACUUAUUACAAAUAAAAAAUAUAUUCUU